UACGAAGGGGGCUAGCGUUGUUCGGAAUCACUGGGCGUAAAGCGCGCGUAGGCGGAUCGUUAAGUCGGGGGUGAAAUCCUGAGGCUCAACCUCAGAACUGCCUUCGAUACUGGCGAUCUUAGAGUCCGGGAGAGGUGAGUGGAACUCCUAGUGUAGAGGUGAAAUUCGUAGAUAUUAGGAAGAACACCAGUGGCGAAGGCGGCUCACUGGCCCGGUACUGACGCUGAGGCGCGAAAGCUAGGGGAGCAAACAGG
rnacentral:rRNA from 1 species